UGUUUGCUUCAACAGCACAGUAUUAAAAUUGGAAUGAUACAGAGAAUAACAGCAUGGCCCUUGCACAAGGAUGGCAUGCAAGUCAUGAAAUAGUGACUAUAUAU